rnacentral:tRNA from 1 species
CGGGGCGUAGCGAAGUCUGGUAUCGCGCCACAUUUGGGUUGUGGAGAUCAUGGGUUCGAAUCCCGUCGCCCCGA